AAUCUCCUAUAGGGAGAGCGGACAUUGUGUGUAUAGAUCUAUACGGGAUUGACAACUUCGCACCCAGACUGCUAGCUACAGUCCUGGCCUACCAAGCCAACGGGUGACAAAUGUCAUAUUUUAGACGCUCGUAGGGUGUCUGGUACUCUAGUCAGUAUGGUUACGAGUAUCCCGGGUUGCCUUAUAAUUCAUUGGCUUUAAGGUAACGGUAUUUCACCGACAAUUUACACUGUAUGCUGGUAAUUCAUUUUCAGAGUCACACUGUUUUGACCUUACAAGACGUAUCUUUCAUUUGAUACUGUCUGGUGUCUGUUAUCUCUGUUUUGACCUUACAAGACGUAAUCUUUCAUUUGAUACUGUCUGGGGUCUGUCUUUCACUGUUUUUGACCUUACAAGACGUAUCUUUUAUUUGAUACUAUCUGGGGUCUAUCUUUCACUGUUUUAGACCUUACCAGCUGUACCUUUCAUUUGGUACCUUCUGGGGUCUGAGUCUCUACUUGUUAGACUGAACUAGGCGUGUCGUUAGUUCGAUACUCUCCUGUAGUCUAUGAUUCCUUGCCUUAGUCAGCAGUCCUCACUGCUGAGGCAUAUGUUAUUCCCUGAUGUCGUUUGCUUUCCUCAAUAAUCAAAUCCGGUAUUUUGAUAAUGAUAGCAAUUUAGGGAAAAUGACUUUUUACCACCUAACACUGACCAGUCUUGGUAGAAGGCUGCUUUAUUAAAGAAAAUAUAGGAUUUUCUGGAAAGAACUCUAAUACACAGUAAACACUUAAACUACUACUUUAUAAAGUUAUUUGAAUAAAUGUCACUAAAUGCUUAUGAACUCACUAGCAUUUGUAAAAAUGCUGAUACUCGCUUUUCAAAUAACUUGUAUUCUCAGGUCAACAAUUAGACAGGUACACCCCCGGAGCUGUUGAUGAAGAUGGCUUAGUACCUUGCUGUACUUUAUAUAUAUUUGCCUNAGAUGGCUUAGUACCUUGCUGUACUUUAUAUAUAUUUGCCUGUAUUACUUAAUACUUUGUAAUGUAAACAAUGUAAAAUUUUUACUAUUAAUGCAAUGUUUUGUUGUACUUUGAUUACUAUAAUGCAUGUGUUGUGAUACUUGACAUGACGUCAUCCACCCCAGAACGUUUCCGCCGUUCCGGUUUUAGGGUGUGACAGGCGGUGGCAGGAGGAAAAGAAGGUGGCAGCAGCUCACAGUGG
rnacentral:lncRNA from 1 species